rnacentral:rRNA from 1 species
AAUAGAUACCCAGGUAGUCCACGCCGUAAACGAUGAGUGCUAAGUGUUGGGGGGUUUCCGCCCCUCAGUGCUGUAGCUAACGCAUUAAGCACUCCGCCUGGGGGGUACGGUCGCAAGACUGAAACUCAAAGGAACUGACGGGGGCCCGCACAAGCGGUGGAGCAUGUGGUUUAAUUCGAAGCAACGCGAAGAACCUUACCAGGUCUUGACAUCCCGGUGACCACUAUGGAGACAUAGUUUCCCCUUCGGGGGCAACGGUGACAGGUGGUGCAUGGUUGUCGUCAGCUCGUGUCGUGAGAUGUUGGGUUAAGUCCCGCAACGAGCGCAACCCUUAUUCUUAGUUGCCAUCAUUCAGUUGGGCACUCUAAGGAGACUGCCGGUGAUAAACCGGAGGAAGGUGGGGAUGACGUCAAAUCAUCAUGCCCCUUAUGACCUGGGCUACACACGUGCUACAAUGGACGGUACAAACGGUUGCCAACCCGCGAGGGGAGCUAAUCCGAUAAAACCGUUCUCAGUUCGGAUUGUAGGCUGCAACUCGCCUACA